rnacentral:rRNA from 1 species
AUGGAGCCGGAGAUCGUGGAGAUCGAGCCGCUGCGGUACGCGCCGCCGCCGCAGUGGCGGGCGCCCCCUCCUCCCCCGCCGCUCCCGCCGCCGCCCAUGACGGCGUCCUCCAGCGCGAGCGCCGCGGAGGCGAGCGCCAGCGCCAGUGCCGUCACGGCGGCGCUGCAGUUCGACAGCGAGAAGCUCCCGCAGACGCUCGUGCUGGAGAUACGGCCGUUCCUGCGCGUCGCCAACCAGAUCGAGGCCGAGUCCCCGCGCGUCGCAUACCUCUGUCGAUUUCACGCCUUUGAAAAGGCUCAUAUGUUGGAUCCUCGUUCAACAGGGAGGGGUGUUCGGCAAUUUAAAACUACACUUCUUCAGAGAUUGGAGCAGGAUGAGAAAAGCACUUUCUCAAAGAGGAAAGAAAGAAAUGAUGCCCGAGAGAUUAAAUCAUUCUAUGAGAAGAAAAAGCAAGCUAAUGCACAUCAACUAAUGCCUGUCCUGGGAGAAGUUUUGAAGGCUGUUCUCAUCGGGACUGGCUUGGAGAGCCUUGUUGCUAGUGAAGAUUUUGGCGACAAGUCAGGCUUCCGAUACAAUAUUAUUCCACUUCAUCCUAGAUCAAGUCAGCAACCAAUCAUGCUUCUUCAAGAGAUCAAAGUUGCAGUGUCUGCGGUGUUUAAUGUACGCAGUCUUCCAUUGGCUAAUGUCAAGGGUGAAAAAAGUCAGACAGAUAUUUUUCGAUGGCUGCAAAGUUGGUUCGGAUUCCAGAAAGGGAAUGUUGCCAACCAAAGGGAGCAUCUCAUUCUUUUGCUUGCAAAUAUGCAUGCUCGGUUGAAUCCAAAGUCAUCCUCUGCUCCAAUGCUUGAUGAAAGAGCAGUAGAGGAAUUAUUAGCGAAAACAUUUGAGAGUUAUCUGACCUGGUGCAAAUUUUUGGGGAGAAAAAGCAACAUAUGGUUGCCCUCUGUGAAGCAGGAAAUUCAGCAGCAUAAACUUCUGUACAUAUCUCUUUAUCUUCUUAUAUGGGGAGAAGCAUCAAAUUUAAGACUUAUGCCAGAAUGCUUAUGCUACAUCUUUCAUCAUAUGUCAUACGAGCUAUAUGGAGUGCUUUCUGGAGCUGUAAGCUUAAUUACUGGAGAAAAGGUCAGACCUGCAUAUGGCGGAGAAGACGAAUCAUUUCUUAAUAAAGUAGUGGCACCAAUAUACAACGAGAUAUAUGCGGAAGCUCUAAAGAACAAAAAUGGAGUAUCUGAUCACUCAACAUGGAGAAACUAUGAUGACCUCAACGAAUUUUUCUGGUCUGCAGACUGCUUCAAACUUGGCUGGCCCAUGCGUCUCAACAACGACUUCUUUUUCACAUCGACUAAGAAUAAAAUGUCUCAUGAAACUAAGAUACAAAAUUCCCAAUUGCCUCGUGGAUCCUCCUCAGCACAAAACAUUGUUGAUUCAGAAGUACCUGACCAAUCACAACAGCAAACUAUAAGUGUGACAUCUCAGCAGAGGUGGUUGGGAAAGACAAAUUUUGUUGAGGUCCGUUCCUUUUGGCAUAUCUUCAGAAGCUUUGAUAGGCUGUGGACACUCCUUGUGCUUGGGCUUCAGAUUCUGAUAAUAAUAGCAUGGCAUGGAUUGGAAAGCCCUCUUCAGUUACUAGAUCCAAUCUUUUUUGAGGAUAUUCUGAGUAUUUUCAUAACCAAUGCAGUACUUCGAGUUCUUCAAGUGGUCCUUGAUAUUUUAUUUUCAUGGAGAACCAGGGGAACAAUGAGAUCUAGCCAGAAACUAAGAUUUGUCAUAAAACUCUCUCUUGCGGUUACAUGGGCGAUCAUUCUGCCCAUAUUUUAUUCCAGUUCUCAAAAUUACAAGGCUUGUUCUGCUAGACGUCCUAAAAACUUUUUGGGAAUGUUCUGCCUGUCAAAGUAUAUGGUGGCUGUGGCAUUUUACCUGACAGGCAACGUGAUUGGGAUGGCACUCUUUUUCGUUCCAGCUGUAAGCAGCUAUAUAGAGACAUCUACCUGGCGAAUUUGCAAUAUAUUGUCCUGGUGGUGCCAGGCCCCGUCAUAUGUUGGAAGAGGAAUGCAUGAAGGCCAAGUACCUUUACUAAAGUAUACAUCAUUUUGGACGGUUCUUUUAUCAAGUAAAUUUAUAUUCAGCUACUACUUCGAGAUUAAGCCUCUUGUGGAACCUACGAAAGAAAUCAUGAGGGUCAAUGUGAAUAUAUAUGAGUGGCAUGAAUUCUUUCCACAAGUCAAGAGCAAUGCUGGCGCAAUUCUUGCUGUAUGGGCCCCUAUAAUUCUUGUCUAUUUUAUGGACACACAAAUUUGGUAUUCUGUAUUCUGUACCAUUUUCGGUGGAAUGUGUGGUAUCGUUCAUCAUCUCGGUGAGAUUCGCACAAUGGGAAUGGUUAGAAGUCGGUUCUGUACCUUACCAGAAGUGUUCAAUGCCUGCCUUGUUCCUCGCUCAAGUCCAAAAGAGAAAAAAGGGAUAUUGCCUAGUUUCUUGGAAAAGAAAAUAUUUAAGGAUUUGGGUAAAUCUGAAAGACAUGACCCAACAAAAUUCGCUCUGGUUUGGAACCAGAUAAUAAAUAGCUUCCGCUCAGAGGAUUUAAUAAGCAAUAGAGAGAUGGAUUUGAUGACAAUGCCCAUGUCACUAGAGUAUCGUUCUGGUUCUAUUCGCUGGCCCUUGUUUUUAGUUGCCAAAAAGUUUUCAACAGCAGUUGAUAUGGCAGCAAAUUUUACUGGAAAUAGUGCACAGCUCUUCCAGAGAAUUAAGAAGGAUAACUACAUGUUUUGUGCGAUCAACGAUUUCUAUGAAUUGACAAAAAGUAUUUUCAGAUUUCUCGUUAUUGGUGAUGUGGAGAAGAGGGUAAUAGCUGUCAUAUUUGCCGAAAUAAAAAAGAGUAUUCAGAACUCAAGUUUAUUGGUAGAUUUUAAGAUGGAUCACUUGCCUUUGCUGGUUGACAAAUUUGAACGGCUGGCUGAGAUUUUGUAUUCAAACAAACAAGGCCUUCAAUAUGAGGUGACAAUUUUACUCCAAGAUAUCAUUGAUACCCUGAUCCAAGAUAUGCUUGUGGAUGCUCAGAGUGUAUUGGAUCAGAUAAAUUAUUCUGAGACACUGAUAUCUGAUAACGAUGGAGCAUUCGAUUACUACAAACCAGAGCUCUUUGCGUCGAUCAGCUCAAUAUCAAAAAUUCGCUUUCCAUUUCCUGCCAGUGGUCCACUCAAAGAGCAGGUUAAACGUCUCUACCUACUACUUAAUACAAAAGAGAAGGCUGCAGAAGUGCCAUCAAAUUCAGAGGCUCGCCGACGCAUUUCAUUUUUUGCUACUUCUCUUUUCAUGGAUAUGCCAGCUGCUCCCAAAGUACGCAGUAUGUUGUCAUUUAGCAUAGUAACUCCCUACUUCAUGGAGGAAGUAAAGUUUUCAGAUGAAGAGCUUCAUUCAGAUCAAGAUGAAGCAUCCAUCCUUUCCUACAUGCAGAAGAUAUAUCCAGAUGAAUGGACAAAUUUCUUGGAAAGGCUUGGUACAAAUGUAAAAAGUGAAGACAUCAGAUACUGGGCUUCUUUCCGUGGUCAAACACUAAGUCGAACCGUUAGGGGAAUGAUGUAUUACAGAAAGGCAUUGAGACUACAAGCUUUUUUAGACAGGACAAAUGACCAAGAGUUAUAUAAAGGACCCGUGGGGACAGAGCGAGAACAAAAUAAGAGAAACAUUCACCAAUCAUUAUCAACUGAAUUAGAUGCCCUCGCGGAUAUGAAAUUUUCAUAUGUCAUCUCAUGUCAAAAGUUUGGGGAACAGAAAUCUAAUGGUGAUGCGCAUGCUCAAGAUAUUAUUGAUCUGAUGGCAAGGUAUCCAGCUCUUCGUGUUGCCUACAUUGAAGAGAAGGAAAUUAUAGUAGACAAUAUGCCUCAUAAGGUCUAUUCCUCUGUUUUAAUAAAAGCAGAAAAUAACUUAGACCAGGAGAUUUACCGUAUAAAGCUGCCUGGCCCACCCAUCAUUGGAGAAGGGAAGCCUGAAAAUCAAAACCAUGCAAUUAUAUUCACCCGUGGAGAGGCCCUACAAACGAUUGACAUGAAUCAGGACAAUUAUUUGGAAGAAGCUUACAAAAUGAGAAAUGUACUUCAAGAGUUUGUUAGACAUCCUAGGGACCAAACUCCAACCAUCCUCGGGCUUAGAGAGCAUAUUUUCACAGGAAGUGUUUCAUCACUUGCUGGAUUCAUGUCAUACCAAGAGACAAGCUUCGUCACAAUUGGACAGAGAUUCCUUGCUGACCCCCUUAGGGUACGGUUUCACUAUGGCCAUCCAGACAUUUUUGAUCGGAUGUUUCAUUUAACAAGGGGCGGCAUAAGCAAAGCAUCUAAAACUAUAAACUUAAGUGAGGACGUAUUUGCUGGGUAUAAUUCCAUUUUGCGUCGUGGACAUAUAACUUACAACGAGUACAUUCAAGUUGGCAAAGGGCGUGAUGUUGGACUUAAUCAGAUAUCGAAAUUUGAAGCUAAAGUUGCAAAUGGCAAUAGUGAACAAACACUUAGCCGUGAUAUCUAUCGUCUAGCGCGGCGAUUCGAUUUUUUCAGGAUGCUUUCAUGCUAUUUCACAACAGUGGGAUUUUACUUCAACAGCCUAAUAUCAGUUGUAGGUGUUUAUGUUUUCCUAUAUGGACAACUAUACUUGGUUCUCAGUGGAUUACAGAGUGCUCUGUUGAUUAAAGCUCAUCACCAGAAUAUGAAGUCCUUAGAAACAGCCCUCGCAUCUCAAUCUUUUCUUCAGUUGGGACUGCUCACAGGAUUACCUAUGGUGAUGGAGUUAGGGUUGGAGAAGGGUUUCAGAGCAGCUUUGAGUGACUUCAUCCUCAUGCAACUGCAGGUUGCUUCAGUUUUUUUCACAUUCUCUCUUGGAACGAAAGCUCACUAUUAUGGACGUACCAUUCUUCAUGGUGGCGCUAAAUAUCGACCAACGGGGCGUAAAUUUGUAGUUUUUCAUGCGAGCUUUACAGAAAACUAUCAGUUGUACUCUCGGAGUCACUUUGUCAAAGCAUUUGAGCUGAUCUUCCUUUUGAUAAUCUAUCACCUAUUUAGGAAAUCCGAUGGGAAGUUUCAUGUGAUGGUCACAUAUUCAACAUGGUUUAUGGCAAUGACUUGGCUAUUCGCACCUUUUCUUUUCAAUCCAGCUGGUUUUGCUUGGCACAAGAUUGUUGACGACUGGUCAGAUUGGAAUAGAUGGAUGAUGAACCAAGGGGGAAUAGGUGUGCAACCAGAAAAGAGUUGGGAGUCAUGGUGGAAUGCUGAGAAUGCACAUCUCCGUUACUCGGUGCUGAGUUCUAGGAUUAUUGAAGUAUUGCUCUGUUUGCGGUUCUUUGUUUAUCAGUAUGGACUUGUCUAUCAUCUCAAGAUAUCUCAUGAUAACAAGAAUUUUCUUGUGUACUUGCUUUCUUGGGUUGUGAUAAUUUCCAUUGUUGGGCUUGUCAAGCUUGUUAAUUGUGCUAGUCGUCAGUUAAGCUCAAAGCACCAACUCAUCUUCAGGUUCAUAAAGUUGUUGACAUUCCUGGCAGUGGUGACUUCCUUUAUCAUUCUAUCUUGCCUGUGCAAACUAUCCAUCAUGGACUUGAUCGUCUGUUGCCUUGCAUUCAUUCCAACUGGUUGGGGCCUCCUCCUUAUUGUUCAGGUUUUGAGGCCAAAAAUAGAAUACUAUGCAAUAUGGGAGCCUAUUCAGGUCAUUGCUCACGCUUAUGACUACGGGAUGGGUACACUGCUAUUUUUUCCAAUUGCUGUACUAGCAUGGAUGCCUAUUAUCUCGGCUAUCCAAACUCGGGUUCUUUUCAAUAGAGCGUUUUCACGGCAACUGCAGAUCCAACCUUUUAUCAUUGGUAAAACUAAGCGGAGGUAA